CCUACGGGAGGCAGCAGUGGGGAAUAUUGGACAAUGGGCGAAAGCCUGAUCCAGCCAUGCCGCGUGUGUGAAGAAGGCCUUCGGGUUGUAAAGCACUUUCAGUGGGGAAGAAAGCCUUGGGGCUAAUACCCUCGAGGAAGGACAUCACCCACAGAAGAAGCACCGGCUAACUCCGUGCCAGCAGCCGCGGUAAUACGGAGGGUGCGAGCGUUAAUCGGAAUUACUGGGCGUAAAGCGCGCGUAGGCGGUCUGAUAAGCCGGUUGUGAAAGCCCCGGGCUCAACCUGGGAACGGCAUCCGGAACUGUCCGGCUAGAGUGCAGGAGAGGAAGGUAGAAUUCCCGGUGUAGCGGUGAAAUGCGUAGAGAUCGGGAGGAAUACCAGUGGCGAAGGCGGCCUUCUGGACUGACACUGACGCUGAGGUGCGAAAGCGUGGGUAGCAAACAGGAUUAGAUACCCUAGUAGUC
rnacentral:rRNA from 1 species